CUGGCGGUGCGAAAAUUGAUGUUUAACCUUCUUAUAAACAUAGCAACUCGAUUUAGAUUAGUGCUAAUUUCAGCUCUUAAGUAGCUUAAUGAUGCGCAAUACCAGCAACCGGUUCAAAUUUACAUGCAACUUUGCAUGUGCUUUGCGUGACUUCGAUUUGGUACUGCGUCGAUGAUGUAUGUAUUAAGAAUUUGAGAUAAUUAUAGGAUCACAACAUGAAAAAGAAGAAUGAAUAUUAAUAUUCUACUAUACUUUCAAACAGCUAGUGCGGGUGCGAGUUUUGUGAACAAUAUAUAUUAAAUAUAAUUCAAAAACUGGAUGUUUUCAAGUUUUCAAGUUACUAUUCAGCUAAAACUAGUAUUACAAAUAUUGCUUUGGACAAGUGAUGUUUUUCGAAAUCGUGAUUUGAUUUAAAAAAAAGUAUCAAUCCCUUCGAUAUUUUGAAAACAAAAUCUGUAAAGCCAAACUUCUGAAUAUAUUCUGAACAAGAAACGAGUUCCAGCAAAGUUCGGUAAAAAAAACAUGAAAUGAAAUAGUGUUUGUAUGACACUUGGACACUUUGGAUCGAAAACGAGUUAAUGGAUAUUGAUAAUCUUUCCACUGUAACAUUCGUGCAGUGUUCCGACAUAUUAGUUAAAAAAAUGUCUGAAUAAUAAUCUGAAUAUACAUACCUUAUGUAUGAGAUUCUUCUAUGAAAGGACAUGUCAAAAAAAAAUCAGUGGGCAGUAUACAAUGUUUGCAUGCUAGCUGUCAUUGAAAACAUUUGAGAAGAGGAAAGCAAUUCAAUUAAUUCAUCAGCAAAGGUACAACCACAAGUAACGGCCAAGUAAUUUACCAAAAUGCCGAGCAGAGAUGGAUGACCAAAUGGAUGACUGUACUUCUAAUUCUGAUGUGAGACUGAAGCGAGACGUUCAUAAACUGAGGAGACUAUCAGCGAAACAACGUGGAGUGACCUUGCUGCGGAUCUGGAGAAAAAACGAGAUGUGGUACCUUGUGGUAUGCACAUAAUAAAUUAUUGUAUUACUCUAUUACGUUUAGCGUGUAUGUUUACAUUGAGUAUCUGUCAUAUGCGGAGAUAUUGUUAUUGUUGUCUGGAGUGUGAAUCAUUGUAUGUAAUAUUGAAGUAUCGGUAAUAAAGUGUAUACAAAUAAUGAA